ensembl:lncRNA
CCAUGCUGUUCUCACGAUAGUGAGUGCUCACAAGAUCUAAUGGUUUUGUAAGUGUUUGGUAGUUCCUCUUGCAUUCAUUCUCUUUCUUGCCACCUUGUUUCCCCUUUGCCUUCUGCCAUGGGUGAGGCCUUCCCAGCAUACUGAACUAAACCAGUUGCCUUGUUACAAGCACUCCUAUGGAGAGGCCCACAUGGUGAGAAACUGAGGCUUCCUGCCAACAGCCAGAUGAGGGAGCUUGCAACAAGAUCCUCCAGCCCCAGCCAAGCCUUCAGGUGACUGCACCCAGGCAACAGCUUGAGUAAAACCUCACAAGACGUCCAGAUCUAGAGCCACCCAACUAAGCUGCUCCCAGAUUUCUGACUCUCAGAAACUCUGUGAGAUAAUAAAUGCUUAUUGUUUUAAGCUGCUAAAUUUUGGGGUAAUUUUUUACACAGCAAGAGAUAACUACUUUAUUUACUAAUAAUUAUUUGUGAAUGUCAUCCAUAGAAAAAAUGAAGUGGUUCCAUUAUUCUUGUAUUUUUAGCCAAAGUAUUUUGUUGUUACUAGGAUAGACACCUGGGUGGUAAUUGCUAUUUGAAGCUGGACACUUGGGCUUUUUCUCCAACACAAAGAACCUCUCAGUCACUACCAGAGAAAGUAAUGACCUCACUUUUUGGAGUAAGUAUUUGUGCUAAUUAGCAGCAUGAUGAAAUACAGCAUGUCAAGCAACAAACUAUUUGUACUUAAUCUUCCAACACAUUCUCUUAUAGAGAGGACAUGAUGCCAGAGAAAUAAACGUUAAACUACUGUAUACUAUCAGACCUCACAAAACAGCCUUACUUGGUUAGCUUUGCAUUUCAAUCCCUAAUUACUAAACUGAUAAGAUUUCUGAUUAUUUUGGUUUAAAGUGAAAGCCCUUUGGCUCAACAAAGUUAGAACAUGAAAGAAAAAAUAAAUAUAUGCAACUACCUAGAGAAGAUAUUAUUUAUGUGAUGUGCUUCUAAGAAAUUCAGCAGGGGAUUUUAAAAAUGCAGGAUUAGUAAUUUUAUAAUCUUUUGUAUCCAAAUAUGCC